rnacentral:rRNA from 1 species
GAUGAACGCUGGCUGCGUGCCUAAUACAUGCAAGUCGAGCGAACAGACGAGGAGCUUGCUCCUCUGACGUUAGCGGCGGACGGGUGAGUAACACGUGGAUAACCUACCUAUAAGACUGUGAUAACUUCGGGAAACCGGAGCUAAUACCGGAUAAUAUAUUUAACCUCAUGGUUCAAUAGUGAAAGACGGUUUUGCUUUCACUUAUAGAUGGAUCCGCGCCGCAUUAGCUAGUUGGUAAGGUAACGGCUUACCAAGGCAACGAUGCGUAGCCGACCUGAGAGGGUGAUCGGCCACACUGGAACUGAGACACGGUCCAGACUACUACGGGAGGCAGCAGUAGGGAAUCUUCCGCAAUGGGCGAAAGCCUGACGGAGAAAAGCCGCGUGAGUGAUGAAGGUCUUCGGAUCGUAAAACUCUGUUAUUAGGGAAGAACAAAUGUGUAAGUAACUAUGCACGUCUUGACGGUACCUAAUCAGAAAGCCACGGCUAACUACGUG